rnacentral:tRNA from 1 species
CGGAGUGUAGCUCAGUCUGGUAGCAGCGCUACUUUCGGGAAGUAGAGGUCGCAGGUUCGAUUCCUGUCACUCCGA